AAUCAUAACAGGGGCUCAGGGGUGUCGUUCACGCGAACUUUUUGACGUCGCGAAUGUGUUUCCCCCAUAAUUUCCAGCGACGUGAAUGCGCCACUAAAGCGGAAAACCUGAACGAAUUGUGGACGAGGCAACAGAGGAAGAGCCAUACUUACACCGUCUGUGGAUCUAAUUUAAACUGAAUUCUGCGGUAACAACGAGGUUUAAUCCUUUAUCAACAGAUCCACAUCUGAGGUCAUAGUGUGAAUCUAAGAUGUCUGGGAGCCUUGAUUUGAGGAUGGAGAGCGGAGAGAGGGAACAAUUGGCUUCUCCCCAGAAUGAACCAACAGCCUCUGAGGGCCUCGGAAAGUUCCAGCGAUUGAAGCCCACAAUACUCGGAGCGAUUGAAGUAACAAUUGGGAUCUCCAUGGCACUGACCGCAAUCGCGUAUCUGGCUGUCGAUGUCGACCCUUACCUAACAGCAAUCCUCUUCUGGGGAAUCCUCAUCUGGCACCAAAGAGUUCUGGUGAUGUUGUCCCCUACAGUACAUCCCUGCUGGGGGUCUGACCAUCGCUGCUGACUGGAAACCCACCAGGGCCAAGGUGUGCGCUGCGUUGGGGAUGAAUGUGCUGGUGGCUCUCUCGGCCGUCGCUGGAAGUCCUCUUCAUGGCUUUGCUAUUGUAAUAUUUGGGUUUGAAGAGUGCGUAACUCUGUGUCACAGUGAAUUUGUCAUGCUGGCAGCGUCCAUCUUGCUGUUCAUCAUCUCUAUAAUCGUUGUUGCAUCUGCAGUGUCUGCUCUGUGUGCCUCUAGAAAGCCAUCAAAAGAACACACAGUCAUCUAAGAGGAACUUUUUGUUUGUUCUGUCAAUCCCUAUGUGAAAAAAUAUCAUUAGGGGUCCAAGCCAACAGGUUGGAUCCCUAUUGUUUUUGUUCCCUAUUUUGACUCGUCCGUCGAUGACGAAACUGUAGCGUUUUGAAUAUUGGUUUAUUAGCUAAAUUAGACGUGGAAAAACAAAAUCCAAAAAAAUCCAAAAAUACACAUUGGAUCGAUUCCAAAUUUUACACACAUGUUGGUGCUAACCUUAAUGUUGUUCGAUAAAAAAACGAGGAUAAAAACGUGCAAUAAACGAGGAAAUUGUAUAUCUUCUACAAAAUUUCGCCAUUAGUGGCCGCCAUAAACGAGGGAAUUGUUCAUCUCCUAACUGGCCAAAGUGAUGUUCUGAAACAUGUUUGGGGAUAUAACUCCCACGACGAACCUCUCACAGUCAAAACCUUUAUAUCCACAGGUUCACGGUAGCGUUUUGAACACAUGGUUCGCGUUGUGCCGGCGAAAUGCACAUUUCUUGUUAUCAUACUUCCUGCCUUGGAAGUGGGACCACAGCCCAAACUGUAAAUGGUGCACACACGCCAAUUGCAUGACUAGAUCAAGGUACGGCACCGCUACUCAGACGAGAAAAUCCAGACACGCCUGUCACUAGGUGGCGCUAUACCAAGGAAAGACGCGUUUGGGGCUAUAUCUCCCACACCGAACCUCCCACAGUAAAAACCUUUAUAUCCACAGGUUCACGCUAGCGUUUUGAAUACUUGCUUCGCGUUGUGCCGGCGAAAUGCACAUAUCUUGGACCCCUGCAUAACUGCUUGCAGUUCUAGUUAUUAUUAAGUACACUUUUAGUAUGUAACUGUAUUCUGCACUAAUUUCGUCGCAUUCAAGCAUACCAAAAUGUACUAAGGUAUACCGGCUUAAGUACUAUUAUAGAUGUACUCUGUGUUAAUAAGUGUUAAUAGUAUGCUAAAAUGGCACAACUUUUGACAACCUUUAAGUGACCUGAAGUACACCAGUGAAAAGUAUGAUUUCUAGCAUUCAAAACACACUUGCAGUCGAUUGCAUUAUAUCACCAGUGUGUUUGAAAUAUACUUAGAAAGGCAUUGUACUUUUAAAGAGUGCCAUUAACAUUUUUAUCACAAUUUAAGCAUCAAAUGCAAGUACUUUAAGUAUAAUGUGAUAAUACUAUAAUGUAGAGUGGAAGUGUAUAUGAAGUGUAUUUUAUCACUACUAAUACUACAGAAUAUAAGUGUAUUUAGAAUUUUUGAAUAUUAAGGCUAUUUUUUAGUACCAUACUGUUAAGUACUUUAUAAAUACUACAGAACUGUACUUACAAUACAUCACUCUUAUACUUCACAUGCACUGGUGCCAUCUUAGUACACUCCAAGGGUUCAAACCACUUCAAUUCUAAUAAAACUAAACUUAUUGGAUUGGCUGUGAGCCGUCACUCAGGGGCAGCCUACGUGGACCUCACUGUGGCACCUCCUCCUUAGCAGGGCCCGGUUCUCGCUGACCAUGGUGUUGGGGCAUUUCUCCCUCACCCUGUCUGUGAAAACAGGAAGGAAGCAUGUGAUUUAAGACUUAGGAUAAACAAUGUAUUACACUGACACAGACUAGUGCGUUCGGAGCGCGUGCCCAAUCGGAGCGUCCGUUCCAACUGAAGCUGGUCCGAUCGACCUCCUGCUCGACACUACGCUGCCCACAGUCCAACACGUGUGACGUUAACUUCACAUUCCCUGGCCAUAUGGUUGCCCGGAUGUGACACUGCGCCUGGAUGGAAAGUAAGCACUUUUGUGAGAACCGCUCAUUUAAAGAACUUUAAACUCAACAUCGCUAUUGGGUCCCGAGCAAUACAACCGCAGAGUGUGCAGCCAUCGAGCUUAUCAACGGAGAGACAGACGGACAGACAGAGAGAUUCCUGCUAUUGUAGUUUGAUUAUCUGUACCUUGGCUUCGACCUUUUCAGGGUCAAGCUGAUCUCUGGCCUCCCCUUUUUCCCCUUCCCAGUCAGGGUAGACUGGGCCAGGGUCUCUUUUCCAAACUCCAUGUGGCCAGCUCCUCUGUGAAAAGGGACAACCGUCUGCUGCCAAUUCUGUAGCAGAGCCGUUUGGAGACCUGGGCGGCGGUGUUGCCCUGGAACAUCCUUAAAAACACAGAGGCCAAUUAAAACAAGGUCACAAUUACAAACACACUAACAUGUUUUAAGUAAACCUCGAACACACUGGUGAUACAAUCUAAUUGUAAUGCAAGUGUACACUGCAUUGCUAAUGCCAACAAAUAAUGUUUGUAAUUUUUGCAUUAAUUUACAAUGUUGCAUACCAUUGAGUAUACUCAAGUAGUACAAAGUAGUACACUUCUGUAUAGUUAUGUGGGGUAGCUGUGCAUUGUCUUGGUUUCAAGGGUGUGAUAACACAAUACUGUGUUACAGUAGAAUAGCAAUGGGGUACGGUGACACUGACAGUGUAUGUCUUUGAGUCCUACCAAGUCGUCCCCGUUAGCAUCACUGCCUGAGGGUUGGGGGGUCUGGAGGGUGGACCUGGUCCAUGCCGAUGGUAUUUUGUCCAGUGCCGUCUUGAUGGCAGCAACCAAUCCUGGAAGCUCUUAAACAAUGAUAUAAAAGGGGUAAAUAAUGAAGUGAGACACAAAAUACAACAUAUUUGUUUCAUGUCAUACAAAAGCGAAAGCCGACAGAGUAAAAUGAUUGACCGAGGCGCAUUCCAACAGUGCUGAUAUUCAGCAAUAAAACUAUUGUGCAUAUGCACUGUUGUAUAAAUGCAUUAGCUCACGCGUGUGAUCAUACGCACACACAAACAGAUUAUUUUCAAAUUUGUGACGUAGGAAGUUGGGUUUGGAAUCUGAGACAUAACGCGCAACGUUUGAAUAAUCGUGAUUUCAAUAUUGACCAAAAUAAUCGUGAUCAUGAUUUCCUUCCGUAAUCGAGCAGCCCUAACAUGCAUGCACUUGGGUUCAAAAUAACAUGCAUUUCCCUUCAUAACCUCAAUUAUAAUGUUUGCAAGUGGGUCAAUAAAUUGUGAGGGUUCAGGUGUAUGCUAGUCCACACUACCAUACACAUGCACCCACCUUUCAGAGCCUUCAACGUCUCCUCAUCGAGUUCCACCAGAACUGUCACUGGUUGCUGCCUUCCGCCUUCCGCCUUCCACCUUCCGUUUUUUGAGCGGCCCAAACAGAUCACAGGAUGGUUCAUCCGAGUCAUCAGACCAAUCGGGAGCAGGAGUAGAGCUACAGGAUGGUUCAUCCGAGUCAUCAGACCAAUCAGGAGCAGGAGUAGAGCUACAGGAUGGUUCAUCCGAGUCAUCAGACCAAUCGGGAGCAGGAGUAGAGCUACAGGAUGGUUCAUCCGAGUCAUCAGACCAAUCGGGAGCAGGAGUAGAGCUACAGGAUGGUUCAUCCGAGUCAUCAGACCAAUCAGGAGCAGGAGUAGAGCUACGGGGGGGUGUGCGUUGCUUGGCGGGUCUCGAGGUAGCUCUUAAACUGGUCACACAUGGCAGUCGCCCCCUGUGAACUAGACUGAAAACAUGCAUAUUGUUUGAGUGUGCCUGGAUUGCCACACAAACCAUGGAAAUAAAUCAAGUCAGUUAGCCAUAUUGGUUUUCAUUUUGCAAAAAUUAAAAGCUUCUUCUGCGAAACACACAUGGUUAAAUUUCAAGACCGGAAACAAUGAUCCCCCCUCCUAAGGUGGACAAACCAAAAGAUGAGUAAAAAUGCUUUUUGCUUUGAUGUUGCAGAGAUAUUGUAACCUUCUUGUGAAGGAUUGUUGACAAUAAUGCACGCUGUAUUUACACAAUGUUUUAUAUAAUAUAUAUCUUAUUUAUAUUUACAAUUGUUGCAUCUAUAUGUGUUUGUUACAAACACCUGCCAGAGUCCAAUUCCUUGUAUGUUGUUCAUACUUGGCUAAUAAAGCUGAUUCCGAUUCUGAUUAACCCAUCACAUGAAUGUAAAGUUUAAAUAUAUUUACUAUAGUAAAUGAGUCUUGUUUCAA